CGGACAGUUGGAGGUCAUGGAUGGCAACGGAAGGACGCCCGCAAGGUUACGUUGGCGAACAGGCUAUUAUUUCCCCUUCGAUGCGCACAGUCCGCUCUGCCAUUGGUCAGCUCUGCCAGAAAGGGGAGGGACUCGAGUCCAAGAAUCUUAAUAGAAAAACUCCAGACUGACAGGACGAAAGAAAGGGUGACAGUUCGAAAAAGACGGAGGACAAGGACGCUUUUACCCGGAACCUGUCCCCUCAGAAUAUUUUGAAAUGUUGCAGUUCUGUACAUCCACACUUUACAGCCAGAUAAGUGUGCUUUUCUGGAUAAUUUUCUGGUGUUAUUGUGAACUUUAUCUGAAGACAACUCAAUUGCCUCGACCGGGAAUGUUGUGUCCAGGUAGGCAUUGUCAGAGACACAACGGAGACUGAUUUUAACGCAGCAUGAUACCAGCGGUUGUACAUUCUUGCAAACACUACAGUACAGCCUACUAUCAAGACAUAUCGGGCUGCCUGUACGGCGAAAGUUGAGAGUUUAUUCGUCCCGGACCGGCAUAACUUGCCGAACGCUGUUAACUUUUUUCAUUUUCGUUGAUGAGGUGAAGCGGGAUAAAAAAUAUAUACAUGGUGCAUGUCGGCAGUUCCACUGGGAUGCGUCAAUUGCAUCCCCAAGCAGUUCAAUGGCGCUGUAAGGCUCGGAGAAAUGCCAGCCAUUCAUGGCGGGAAGAAAGCGCUUCUAUUUCACGACAUCAGAGGAAGAAAUACACUAAACGUACGUGGACACCUGCUCAUCGAACAUCUCAUUCCAAAAUCAUGGGCAUUAAUAUGGAGUUGGUCCCCCCCCUUUGCUGCUAUAACAGCCUCCACUCUUCUGGGAAGGCUUUCUACUAGAUGUUAG